rnacentral:rRNA from 1 species
GGGCUUACACAAGCGGUGGAGCAUGUGGUUUAAUUCGAAACAACGCGCAGAACCUUACCAAUCCUUGCAAUGUACAGAAAGCAAUCGUUAUUGUUUGUCUUUUGGUAUACAGGCGCUGCAUGGCUGUCGUCAGUUCGUGGCGUGAGCUGUUGGGUUAAGUCCUAGAACGAACGCAACCCUCUUGACAUGUGUUUCACACAUACGUGUGUAAUCUUGUUAGACUGCCAGUGACAUACGGGAGGAAGGUGAGGAUGACGUCAAGUCCGCAUGGCCCUUAUGGGUUGGGCUACACACGUGCUACAAUGGCGAACACAAAGGGAAGCAAGAUGGCAACAUGGAGCAAAUCCUCAACUUUCGUCGUAGUCCGGAUUGUUCUCUGCAACUCGAGAACAUGAAGUUGGAAUCGCUAGUAA